CCUUACAAAAGAAAUCAUCUCUUCCCAAGAUGCAGAAGUUUAGAAGCACAUGGUGUUGAGUCUUCUCGCUUCUAGUACCUUCAUCUUUUGAACUCCAAACUUCUUGGGUGAAGAAGAAGAGAAGAGGUGAGGUGUGAAGAUGGAGAGAAUGAGGUGACUAGGGGUAUUGAGAGAAUAUGAAGGAGAGGGGGAACAGCCUCGGCUGGAUGCCUGAGGCGUUCUCGGCCUGAUCAUCUGAAAGGAGGAUGGGGCAUUAUUUAUUGAUGAGGCAUGAGAGGAUUUUGGGAGCAAAAAGGAGAUUGAGUUGUGUCAGGAUUUGGGGCGGCG
rnacentral:lncRNA from 1 species